rnacentral:lncRNA from 1 species
AUACAGGCGGCCUCUAGGGGCUACAAGAGGCAAGAAACAGAUUCUUUCUAGAUCCUCUCUCAGAAGGAACCAUCCUUGCCGACACCUUGAUUUCAGCCUCAGAAGACUCAUUGUAGGCAUCUGACUCCCAGAACUGUAAGAGAAUGCAUGUUGUUUUAAGCCACUAAAGUUAAUUGUGUUAAUUGUUGCUAAUUCUUUACAGCAACAAUGAAAAACAAAUACAAGCUGGAAGCAAUAUAAUGGACCAACAAUAGGGGACUAUGUGACAGAAGCUGUUUUUGUAGAGGAACACACUUACGGGAAGUAGUGUAGAGUCUGAGGUUUUGAGACAUAUUGAGCAUCCACCAUCGGCCAGGCAGAUCAAAGAAUGGAUCUGGGAGGGAAGUAGUGAGUGGAUGAAGAGAAACACAAAAAAGCUGAAAAUGCCAGACACAUCCCGAUCUCCCUUGCACCAAGCAGAGCCGUGGCCUGGGCUCAGCCAAUCAGACUCAUCGCUCCUGAGCUGAAUUACAAGCGAAUGAAGUGGAGAAGGAGGGACCCUGCAGGAUCCAUUCUAGCAAGGGCGUUGGCAGCCACAGCAGCCACAACAGUUUCCCCGAGGCGGCAGAUCUGGUGGCUGCAUCUGAAUGGAACAGCAGAGGGCUGGCAUUGUAAACUAUGAGCUGCAGGUCCACAGCAGCAACAGCGGAGUCUGCACAGGGCCGGUUCUGAGCCUGCUUUCCAACAUCAUCCCAGCUGUAUGGCCUCCAAGGCUGGUUUUAGGCUCUCUCAUAUACUCUGUGUGCUAUCCAAUAUCCUACAAUAAAUUCCUUUCUGGUGUAAAUCAGGAAAAAUUAGUUUGUUGCUUGCAAACUAAGCACCCUGGCUGUUAUAUGCACAACUUCUGGAAGGGCACACAGACACAAUCCAUUACUAAAAUGACUAGUCUUAUUGAAAGCUUUCUA